rnacentral:lncRNA from 1 species
CAGGUGAUAUAUGAGAACGUCGUUGACCUAUAUACAUUUCCAGAACUCGUGUCCUGGAUUCAGUGAUAAACAGGUAGGAGCAAAAGGCUUUCUCAACGCGUUUGAGGGGACAAACACGGUACGAGUAGAUCGUUCUUAAUCGCCCCGUAUCUCAAUCGAGUCGAUUCGAAUCGGGCUCUCAAAGGAUUGAAAUCCGGCUGAAGUAUCUUGCUAACAUUCUCGAGCAACGCUACUUUACACAGAGAAAUUCGAUCCGGCCGUAAUCCGUUGGAAAAUCUCGGU